rnacentral:ncRNA from 1 species
GAUCAAGCACAAUAAGGGCGUUUGGCGGAUGCCUUGGCACUGAGAGGCGAUGAAGGACGUGGCAGGCUGCGAUAAGCUUCGGGGAGUUGCCAGCACACUUUGAUCCGAAGAUUUCCGAAUGGGGAAACCCCAUCCAUCAGGAUGAUCGUCGACUGAAUCCAUAGGUCGACGAGGCAAACCCAGGGAACUGAAACAUCUCAGUACCUGGAGGAAAGGACAUCAACAGAGACUCCGCUAGUAGUGGCGAGCGAACGCGGACUAGGCCAGUGACACGAUCGUAAGAACCGGAACACUCUGGAAAGGGUGGCCAUAGCGGGUGAUAGCCCCGUACGGGUAGAAAGCGGUCGGGUCCUUGAGUAGGGCGGGACACGUGCAAUCCUGUCUGAACACGGGGGGAUCACCCUCCAAGCCUAAGUACUCCUCAGUGACCGAUAGUGAACAAGUACCGUGAGGGAAAGGUGAAAAGCACCCCGACAAGGGGAGUGAAAUAGACCUGAAACCGAACGCCUACAAACAGUCGGAGGCCGCAAGGCUAACGGCGUACCUUUUGUAUAAUGGGUCAGCGACUUACUCUGUGCAGCAAGCUUAAGCCGAUAGGUGUAGGCGCAGCGAAAGCGAGUCUGAAUAGGGCGCUUAGUUGCACGGAGUAGACCCGAAACCGGGUGAUCUAGUCAUGGGCAGGUUGAAGGUGUGGUAACACGCACUGGAGGACCGAACCGGUUACCGUUGCAAAGGUAUCGGAUGACCUGUGAUUAGGGGUGAAAGGCCAACCAAACUCGGAAAUAGCUGGUUCUCCGCGAAAACUAUUUAGGUAGUGCGUCGAAUGAUUACCGCCGGGGGUAGAGCACUGGAUGGGCUAGGGGGAUCCAAAGUCUUACCAAACCUAACCAAACUCCGAAUACCGGCGAGUACAGUUCGGCAGACAGACGGCGGGUGCUAAGGUCCGUCGUCGAGAGGGAAACAGCCCAGACCGCCAGCUAAGGUCCCUAAGUCAUGGCUAAGUGGGAAAGGAUGUGGGAAGGCCAAAACAACCAGGAGGUUGGCUUAGAAGCAGCCAUCCUUUAAAGAAAGCGUAAUAGCUCACUGGUCUAAAUAAGCCAGCCUGCGCCGAAGAUGUACCGGGGCUCAAGCCAUGCACCGAAGCUGCGGACUCGAAAGAGUGGUAGCGGAGCGUUCCGUAAGCCUGUGAAGGGAUAGGGGUGACCCGUCCUGGAGGUAUCGGAAGUGAGAAUGCUGACAUGAGUAGCGAUAAGAAGCGUGAGAGACGCUUCCGCCGUAAGUCCAAGGGUUCCUGCGCAAGGUCAAUCCGCGCAGGGUUAGCCGGCCCCUAAGUCGAGGGCGACAGCCGUAGACGAUGGGAACCAGGUCAAUAUUCCUGGGCCUGCUGAAGGUGACGGAUCCCAUAAGUGGUUCUAGCUCGUUGGCGAAUGCUAGGACGAUGGAGGGGUUCCAGGAAAUAGCCUCAGCAUAUAGACCGUACCCUAAACCGACACAGGUGGACUGGUAGAAUAUACCAAGGCGCUUGAGGGAACGGUGUUGAAGGAACUAGGCAAAUUUCCCCCGUAACUUCGGGAUAAGGGGGCCUCCAUCGGUCUCGAUGGAGGGGCACAAACUAGGGGGUGGCGACUGUUUAACAAAAACACAGGGCUCUGCUAAGCCGUGAGGCGAAGUAUAGGGUCUGACGCCUGCCCGGUGCCGGAAGGUUAAGAGGAGAGGUUCACGCCUUGAAUCGAAGCCCCGGUAAACGGCGGCCGUAACUAUAACGGUCCUAAGGUAGCGAAAUUCCUUGUCGGGUAAGUUCCGAC